rnacentral:rRNA from 1 species
UGGGGAAUAUUGCACAAUGGGGGAAACCCUGAUGCAGCGACGCCGCGUGAGCGAAGAAGGCUUUCGAGUCGUAAAGCUCUGUCCUAUGAGAAGAUAAUGACGGUAUCAUAGGAGGAAGCCCUGGCUAAAUACGUGCCAGCAGCCGCGGUAAUACGUAUGGGGCGAGCGUUGUCCGGAAUUAUUGGGCGUAAAGGGUACGUAGGUGGUUUUUUAAGUCAGGUGUCAAAGCGUGGAGCUUAACUCCAUUAAGCACUUGAAACUGAAAGACUUGAGGGAAGGAGAGGAAGGUGGAAUUCCUAGUGUAGCGGUGAAUUGCGUAGAUAUUAGGAGGAAUACCGGUGGCGAAGGCGACUUUCUGGACUUUUACUGACGCUCAGGUACGAAAGCGUGGGGAGCAAACAG